rnacentral:tRNA from 1 species
GGGGAUUUAGCUCAGUAGUAGAACGUGAGCUUAGCAUACACGAGGUCCUGGGUUCAAUCCCCAGAACCUCCA